rnacentral:rRNA from 1 species
CACGUAGGGGGCAAGCGUUGUCCGGAUUCAUUGGGCGUAAAGAGCGUGUAGGCGGCCAGGUAGGUCGGUUGUGAAAACUGGAGGCUCAACCUUCAGAGGUCGACCGAAACCAUCUGGCUAGAGUCCGGGAGAGGAGAGUGGAAUUCCAGGUGUAGCGGUGAAAUGCGCAGAUAUCAGGAAGAACACCCCGUGGCUAAGGCGGUUCUCUAGUACGGUACUGACGCUGAGACGCGAAAGCGUGGGGAGCGAACAGG